rnacentral:rRNA from 1 species
UACGUAGGGGGCAAGCGUUGUCCGGAUUUAUUGGGCGUAAAGAGCGUGUAGGCGGCCAAGCAGGUCCGCUGUGAAAACUCGAGGCUCAACCUCGAGACGUCGGUGGAAACCGUUUGGCUAGAGUCCGGAAGAGGAGAGUGGAAUUCCCGGUGUAGCGGUGAAAUGCGCAGAUAUCGGGAAGAACACCCGAGGCGAAGGCGGCUCACUGGCCCGAUACUGACGCUGAGGCACGAAAGCGUGGGGAGCAAACAGG